AACCUGGUUGAUCCUGCCAGUAGUCAUAUGCUUGUCUCAAAGAUUAAGCCAUGCAUGUCUAAGUAUAAACUGCUUUAUACUGUGAAACUGCGAAUGGCUCAUUAAAUCAGUUAUAGUUUAUUUGAUGGUACUUACUUACUCGGAUACCCGUAGUAAUUCUAGAGCUAAUACGUGCGUACAUCCCGACUUCUGGAAGGGACGUAUUUAUUAGAUAAAAGGCCGACCGGGCUUGCCCGACUCGCGGUGACUCAUGAUAACUUCACGAAUCGCAUGGCCUUGUGCCGGCGAUGUUUCAUUCAAAUUUCUGCCCUAUCAACUUUUGAUGGUAGGAUAGAGGCCUACCAUGGUGGUAACGGGUGACGGAGAACUAGGGUUCGAUUCCGGAGAGGGAGCCUGAGAAACGGCUACCACAUCCAAGGAAGGCAGCAGGCGCGCAAAUUACCCAAUCCUGACACAGGGAGGUAAGUGACAAUAAAUAACAAUACCGGGCCUUUGGUCUGGUAAU
rnacentral:rRNA from 1 species